GCUUUGUGUUAAAAUAAAGAAUGUAAAAGAGAAGAAAAAUACAUAACAGGCAACAGGAUAUGCUGCUGAAACCAUUUAAGUAGGUUUUUAAAAUUUUAAACUCGUUUACGCUAUAGAGUUUUUGUCAUGAAAUACAAAUAUUGUUGUAUGAAUGUUGUUCAAUGUUGAUAUUUGUUUCGUCGCUAUAUAACAAAACACUUAACGUCUUUUCCCUCGGGAAAUAGUUAAUUUUGUUUUCCCUCGAAUCUCAAUGUUUCCCUCGACUUCGUCUCGGGAAACAUUGAGAUUCUCG
rnacentral:lncRNA from 1 species